rnacentral:lncRNA from 1 species
CAACCACAGUCAGGGGAACUUCCUCUCUCUCUACCUUCCAUGGCAAGGCCCUAUGGGCCCUGGUUAACAGUAGUGCACUAAGUAGGGAAUAGGGUGCCAUUUUGUGUGCAUCCCAGGCCACAGGAGGAUGUCACUCAACCUCCUGUGAAGUGGCUGAUCAAAGAUAAAAGAGGCUCACAGAUUGGUCAGUCAGACUCUCACGAGUGAGUGAACAUGUUUUGAUCUAUCAAGACGAUGUAGACCUAAUAAUCCUUUUAACCUGUUAGCCAAUCGCCUGGCAGGUUACUUGUUGGUUGGAGGUCGGUCACGAAACAGGAUACACUUGACUUCUGACCUCCCAUUGAGUGCCAAAGUACAGACUGGAUUCAGGCUAAGUGACAAUCUGGUUGCUAAGUGCCCUGGCUCCACCAAUCAGCCUCAGAGGUCAGGUGUGCAGGCGAGCGGGCGGAAGUGCAUAAAUCCAUGGGAACCCCCAUGGUGAAUUUCCAUUGAGUGAAAAGGAAAGGUCUGGGCCACCUCCCAUGCUCAUACAGAAUUAUAGAAGUCACUUUCUAGACCAGGUAGAUACUUCACUGUCUAGACCAGGUAGAUACUUCACUGUCUAGACCAGGUAGAUACUUCACUGUCUGGACCAGGCAGAUACUUCACUGCCUAGACCAGGCAGAUACUUCACUGCCUAGACCAGGUGGAUACUUCACUGCCUAGAACAGGUAGAUACUUCACUGUCUGGACCAGGUAGAUACUUCACUGUCUAGACCAGGCGGAUACUUCACUUUCUAGACCAGGCAGAUACUUCACUGCCUAGACCAGGUAGAUACUUCACUGCCUAGACCAGGUUGAUACUUCACUGCCUAGACCAGGUAGAUACUUCACUGCCUAGACCAGGUAGAUACUUCACUGUCUAGACCAGGUUGAUACUUCACUGCCUAGACCAGGUUGAUACUUCACUGCCUAGACCAGGCGGAUACUUCACUUUCUAGACCAGGCGGAUACUUCACUGCCUAGACCAGGUGGAUACUUCACUGCCUAGACCAGGUAGAUACUUCACUGCCUAGACCAGGCGGAUACUUCACUUUCUAGACCAGGCAGAUACUUCACUGCCUAGACCAGGUAGAUACUUCACUGUCUAGACCAGGUUGAUACUUCACUGCCUAGACCAGGUAGAUACUUCACUGUCUAGACCAGGCGGAUACUUCACUGUCUAGACCAGGCGGAUACUUCACUGUCUAGACCAGGCGGAUACUUCACUGUCUAGACCAGGCGGAUACUUCACUGUCUAGACCAGGCGGAU